UACAGAGGUCUCAAGCGUUUGUUCGGAUUCAUUGGGCGUAAAGGGUGCGUAGGUGGCGCUGUAAGUCAGGUGUGAAAUUUCGGAGCUUAACUCCGAAACUGCAUUUGAUACUGCGGUGCUCGAGGACUGGAGAGGAGACUGGAAUUUACGGUGUAGCAGUGAAAUGCGUAGAGAUCGUAAGGAAGACCAGUGGCGAAGGCGGGUCUCUGGGCCGAUACUGACGCUGAGGAGCGAAAGCAUGGGGUAGCGAACAGG
rnacentral:rRNA from 1 species